rnacentral:sRNA from 1 species
AAUUAAUACAUAGUUAUUGCGGAAGAUAUACACACUAAUAAUCACUCGUUUACGUGAUAAAGGUGCAAAAAAAUGAAUUGCAACAAGAUAUUCCAU